CGGACGGGUGAGUAAUGCUUGGGAAUCUAGCUUAUGAGGGGGAUAACUACGGGAAACUGUAGCUAAUACCGCGUAAUAUCGAAAGAUUAAAGUGUGGGACCUUCGGGCCACAUGCCAUAGGAUGAGCCCAAGUGGGAUUAGGUAGUUGGUGAGGUAAAGGCUCACCAAGCCGACGAUCUCUAGCUGGUCUGAGAGGAUGACCAGCCACACUGGGGCUGAGACACGGCCCAG
rnacentral:rRNA from 1 species